UCAUACAAGACUCUGGGUGCGACCCUCUAUUUCAUUCACCCUGCAACAAUACACUGUGUUACAUCCUAAUCAAUUUUCCCAUUACCUUGGAUUGUAGACCCAAGAUAUUUGAAACUUCCAUAGUUCUUUAGCAAAUGUACCUGUCGGAAACACUGUUGUGUCUGUCUACAACACCAACACCUAUCCAGUUUCUUCUAUCAUGUACCUGUGACAUUUCUUCAUCUGAUGGUCUUCUUAUCUUCAUCUUCUGGGAGUGGGAUCUUCCUUCUAUAGUUGUUGUGCUUCUCUUAUAAAGAUGUCAGCAUGCUUGAGUACCUGGUCCAUUUGAGAGCCUUUUUCAACUUAUUUCUGUCUUGUUUUAACUUCUUUUUGAGCACCCAGUUCUUCACUACAAACCUUUUCUUUAGUGGGUGCAGCUAUAGGAUCUUCAAGUUUUAACCCCGUCUUCUCCUUCUCUAGUGUAAGAACCUGGUUCUUUAGAUCAUCAACAUCAUUUAGCAAUUUCUUGGAAGGCACUAAAUAACAGUAAAAGUCACUAUCUCUAGGCAUGU
rnacentral:lncRNA from 1 species